CCGGCCUCCCCUGCCCCGGCCGCGGUCCCGGGCCUGCCGACCUCCCGGGGCACACCCCGCUCCCCCCGGGACUCACCGCGCUUCCCGGGUCCGUGGUCCGUGGUCGCGGGCUGGUCCCCUCUAACCCUGCGGCCUCGCGGCCUCGGAGGCUUUUCUCUUCCGUGGCUCUCAUGUCAACUUUGGGUUGGAAUGGGGAAAGGCGGCUUUGGCGGUGUCAGGGCCAUUGAAGGUCAGAGACUGAGAAGGCCUCACCAGGUGUCACGGCACGAGCCCUCGGAGAGCAGCGUCGCAGACCAUCGUGCGCGCCGGGAACUGCUGUUGGCGUGGCUUACAGCGGCACGGGGACAGAGGUGUCAUCUGUGCUCUCAUGCCCCCGUCCGGGGUGGGGGAUGCUGUAGCUUUUUUUUUUUUCCUGAGGUCACAGAGAUGAACCCAGGGUUUGGGUGGUGACAGGACACAUUUGCUGCUUUGGGAAAGUGUGGAGUAUAUCACUGAACCAAAAAGAAAAAAGGUGGGUACAGCCUCUGGUCUGCACUGCUGGUGGUGCCGUGGCUGAAAAGCUGGUAUAGCUUGUGAUAAAGAAGUCAGGCGAUCGAGUCCGUUUCCCCUUACCCGUGACUGCGGCCUGGCCCCAGGCAGUCCUGAGAUACCUACCCUGCUGCAAGAAGGGGUCCUUCUGUACGGCCUGCCUUCCCCCUGAGCUGGACAGCAUCCUAGGAACGGAGCCUCGUGUCGCAUGGGAGGAUGUCAUCUACCCCGCUGGGCCCCUUGUGUUCCACCAGCAUUCCCCACAGGGUGAGGCCCAACAAUGUACCUAACCUCUCCGGUCUUGUAAAACGAGGAUAGCACAAAAUGUUGCUCGGAGAAUUAAACUAGUGAUCCAAACCCGAGAAAAAACGUUUCCUUGCUCCCUGUCUCCUCCACCUCGUCCUCCAGCCCUUUCAGAAUCCCAGCCUGCAUUUCCCCCGGUGGCCCGUUAGCUCAAAGUGCCACACACCAGCAAGCAGCUGCGAGUAGUGAUCCGAGAGAAGCCCUCUUUUCUGUUCCUACUGGCUUCCACCCUGUCUCUAGAGUGUCUUCCUAUAUUGUCCCUGUGCUUCCGUGUCUACAGACUUACUCUGUCUCCACAGCGCUCUGCCGCUGAGCUAGGCCCUCCCAACCCUCGGAUUUGAGGCAAGGUCUCCCUAGCAUGGCUCCCACUGUCUUUGUGUUCUCAGCAAUCCUUCCUCUGUCUUCUAAGUGUUGGCAUGACAGACGUGUGCCACUAUGGCCAGCUUGUGAUUUUGAGUUCUGACUGACUGAUUUUGGGGGGAGUGGGAUAGUUUUACCUUCUCACAUGCUGAUAAAUUAACUCAUACCAAAC
rnacentral:lncRNA from 1 species